rnacentral:lncRNA from 1 species
AGUUUGAGGUCAGUCUAGGCAACAUAGUGAGACCCUGUCUGAAAAACAAAUGAUGUUGUACUUUAAAAUUUUUUAAAAAAAAAUUAAAAAGAAAAGAAAAACAAUGAUGUAGCUGGCCAUGGUGGGGCACGCCUGUAAUCUCAGUGCUCUGGAGGCAGAAGCAGGAAGAUCGUGAGUUCAAAGCCAGCCUCAGCUACUUAGUGAGUCCUUAAGCAACUCAGCAAGACCCUGUCUCAAAAUAAAAAGGGCUGGAGAUGUGGCUCAGUAGUUUAGCAUCCCUGGGUUCAAUCCCUGGUACCAAAAAAAAAAAGAAGAUGUAUUCACCAAGUAGGAGGCUCACCUGUGUCUCAGUGUGCAGAACUUUCUAUCACGUACACGACUGGCUCCGUUUUUGCCUGCAUGCUGGAACUCAAUCUCCAGCCCCCAUCAGCUCCCUGGAGUUAGCACCAGGAACAUGUGGCUCAGACCUCCACCCCUCUGAUCACAGGGUUGGUCUGUGGCAGGCUGUUCCCAUUCUGACACUACGCAGGGGAGUAAGUAGCAUUGGGUGGCGAGAAGAGAGACCUUGGUAGGACUCCCUGACUCCAUGGCUGCCGACUGGCUUCCUGCGCUGCACCCAGCUGACCUGGGUUGCUUUCUACGUGGUGCAUUGCGCAGUCUUUUCAGUGAUCCAGGCCCUGAAACUUCAGAGGGGUUAAUUUGGCAAAUGGAGACUUUACAAGAUUUAGGGUUACAGUGUUUUGCCCUGGCUGCACGUGCAUUCCUCCAACAGCCAGAACUGAUGGCACAAAGCACCUCGUUAGCAAGAAUGAAGCAGGAAGUGACCAGACACUGCGUGUGGAACACCUUCCCUGUAGGAGACAGUCCAGGCAGCCAGGGGGAUGGGAAGGCCCAACCUGGGGUGCUUGUUCCGUCACUGAACGUGUGCAUCAGCAUGAAUCUCUCUUUCACCUUCAGUAGGUGGUUUGGGGUAGAAAUAGGAAAUUAAUGCCGUACAUGGAAAGACUGUGCCAGACUCCACAACACAGCACUGUUAACCUCUUCUCAAACAAUCUCCCUGCACACAACCCCCAACAGACACACACGCCCCAGAUGAGAGUCCCACACCCGCCUCCUUUCCCCUCCAGCAGCACUUCCCCCGUGCUGUCAGGUCCGAGGCUGUGGAAAUGGCUUCUCUCUCCUUUCAAUUGUCUUCAGUUCUUUUCCCUUUAAACUCAGCACGGGGCCCGUAUGGGGACACAUCUUCUGUCAAAGAGAAGUGCAGAAGGUGCCUCUUGGCAGAGCAUUCAAGAUAGGCAAAUGGAGCAUCUUUAAUCAAAAAUAUAAAACAUGGGCGGGCGCAGUGGCAUAUGCCUGUAAUCCCAGGGGCUCAGGAGGCUGAGGCAGGAAGAUGGCGAGUUCAAAGCCAGCCUCAGCAACAGCAAGGCGCUAAGCAACUCAGUGAGACCCUGUCUCUAAAUAAAAUACAAAAUAGGGCUGGG